UGAGCAGCAAAAAGUCAGUGUGUCCAAGGCCCAGUGGGAUGCAGAGCCCGGGGAAAGUGAGAACUAUACCAAUAGAGCACAGCAGAGAAGGGUGAAGGGAAGCAUGAAGAGAAGCAGUGGGAGUCAAGAGGGGUGAGGACAACUGCCCAACACGAGGGUCUGCCAUGAAGCACCCCAGCAGGACGACCAGGGCCUCCUAGUCUACAUUUUGCCUUGGCCACAUAACUUUGUGCAGGACUGUGAUCCCCCACUCUUCCCUGAGAGAAGGAAGAUGACCCGACACACAAGAUAAACAUAUUGAGGAAGGAUGUGCAGUAUGAUAGGAUUUGUAACACAUCCCAUUUAGUGUGUUUUUAGGAACCCGUAAGUUGCUCACAGGGCAAAUUUGGAUUUGAAUAGUCAGCUUUCAUCCUUCCUACCUCUUUGUUACUUAACUAAAAUUAUUCUUUUUUUUAAGCUCCCAAAAUUUCUGCAACAUAACUAUCACAAACUGAUCUUGCCAUUAUCUAUGAUGGGAGGAGUCAUGGUAAUUUGAUGAGAAUUUUCUGUCUGAUUAAGCCUCCUAUUGUACCUGGCUGUGCCUCACAGGCCUCUCUCUACAAUGGUGUAACUCCCUGAUGGUGCAGAGAGAUGUGCUGUCUCUGGGACAUUCUGAUUUUGGGUCAGUCCUGUGGUAUUGAUAAGGAAGCUCCGAGAAGUCAUUAUAGAGGCAGCACCCACAGAGUCCACUGCUGAGAAUGAGGAAGGGGACACACGAGAAGAAGUCAUCAUUGAAUGAGCAAUCCUGCUUCGGCAGCACCUGCUUCAAAGGAGAAACUGUAACCUCCUGCAGGAUCACAGAAUGUUCAGGCUCUGUGUUGACUAUGAAUUAAGUGAAAGCCCAUGACCAAGCUGUACCACAGCGCUGGGCAAUGUUGGAGGCUGAGCUGUAUGCUGACGCAGUGGUCUUGGAUUUGUCUCUUCCUGUGGUACUCUAUGCUCUCCUACAGCCUCCAUAGAUGACUCUGGAGGCUGAGAUGGGGUCUCCUGAAAAGUUGGAGAGAGUUGAACCCCUCAAGUAGCUAUAAGAGUUAUGUGACAUUCCAGGUUCAGAGCCUGAUGAUGACAGGAGUGACGUUGGCUCCUGAGCCUGCGCCUGCAUCUGCUCGGACUGUAGAAGUGUCACCUCAGGGUGCUUCAGAGGAGAAGCUGCAACCACAACACUGGGAACUACUGGAGGCUGAGCCGUAUGCUGACCCAGUGGUGUUGGAUUUGUCACUUCAUGUGGUACUGUAUGCUCUCCUAUAUUCUCCAUAGAUGACUCUAGAGGCUGAGAUGGGGUCUCCUGAAAAUGUGGAGAAAGUUGAACCUCUGCAGUAGGUACAGGAGUUAUGUGAUGUUCCAGAUUCACAGCCUGAAUGAUGACAGCAGAGAGGUUCGGCUCCUGACCCUCAGCCUGCGUCUGCUCUGCCUGUACAAGUAUCACCUCUGGGUGCCUCAAAGGAGAAACUGUCACCUCCUGCAGGAUCACAGAAUGUUCAGCCUCUGUAGUGUCUUGAAGAUUUUGUGUAAAUCCCAUAUCCAAGGGUUGUAACACAACACUGGGCAAUGUUGUACUCUAA